UCCUGUCUUUAUGGUUUGGGUAACGACUUAUGGUGAUUGUUCACGAGUCAUUGCCUGGACUUACAGUCUGGGAAAAAUCUCAGGAAAACCAUACUGUUGUGGUCACAAGUCACACCCUACGAUGCAUGACCAAACCUUAAAAAUUGUGAGGAUUAGGUAGUGAUCGAGGUAGAAGCCCUGGAUAAUCUUACUAGUUAGGCAAUAGUUGGAGCCCUACGACUCAUGACGACUGCUAACGACGUAUCACCCGAGUCAUUUCCUGGGCAGUGUUGUCAACACACAAAAAUUUUAAGAGUCCAAGACCUAGGUAUUACAUUACUCCCCUUAGGAUCAUUUAUCCUUGAAUAAAGAGUUCAGA
rnacentral:lncRNA from 1 species